rnacentral:rRNA from 1 species
CCUACGGGUGGCAGCAGUGGGGACUAUUGCACAAUGGGGGAAACCCUGAUGCAGCGACGCAGCGUGAGUGAAGAAGUCUUUCGGUAUGUAAAGGUCUAUCAGCAGGGAAGAAAAUGACGGUAACUGAUUAAGAAGCCCCGGCUAACUACGUGCCAGCAGCCGCGGUAAUAAGUAGGGGGCAAGCGUUAUCCGGAUUUACUGGGUGUAAAGGGAGCGUAGACGGCAGCACAAGUCUGUAGUGAACUGCCGGUGCUUAACCCCGGAACUGCUUUUGAAACUGUGCAGCUAUGGUGCAGGAGAGUUAAGUGGAAUUCCUAGUGUAGCGGUGAAAUGCGUAGAUAUUAGGAGGAACACCAGUGGCGAAGGCGGCUUACUGGACUGUAACUGACGUUGAGGCUCGAAAGCGUGGGGAGCAAACAGGAUUAGAUACCCUUGUAGUC